AUACGGAGGAUCCAAGCGUUAUCCGGAUUUAUUGGGUUUAAAGGGUGCGUAGGUGGCUUAUUAAGUCAGGGGUGGAAAGACAGUAGCUUAACUAUCGGCAGUGCCUUUGAUACUGAUGAGCUUGAAUGAACUAGAGGUAGGCGGAAUGUGACAAGUAGCGGUGAAAUGCAUAGAUAUGUCACAGAACACCAAUUAGCGAAGGCAGCUUACUAUGGUUUAUUGACACUGAAGGCACGAAAGCGUGGGGAUCAAACAGG
rnacentral:rRNA from 1 species